GAUGAACGCUGGCGGCGUGCCUAAUACAUGCAAGUCGAGCGAACGGACGAGAAGCUUGCUUCUCUGAUGUUAACGGCGGACGGGUGAGUAACACGUGGAUAACCUACCUAUAAGACUGGGAUAACUUCGGGAAACCGGAGCUAAUACCGGAUAAUAUUUUGAACCGCAUGGUUCAAAAGUAAAAGACGGUCUUGCUGUCACUUAUAGAUGGAUCCGCGCUGCAUUAGCUAGUUGGUAAGGUAACGGCUUACCAAGGCAACGAUGCAUAGCCGACCUGAGAGGGGGAUCGGCCACACUGGAACUGAGACACGGUCCAGACUCCUACGGGAGGCAGCAGUAGGGAAUCGUCCGCAAUGGGCGAAAGCCUGACGGAGCAACGCCACGUGAGUGAUGAAGGUCUUCGGAUCGUAAAACUCUGUUAUUAGGGAAGAACAGAUGUGUAAGUAACUGUGCACAUCUUGACGGUACCUAAUCAGAAAGCCACGGCUAACUACGUG
rnacentral:rRNA from 1 species